GAGACUCUGUGCGCGUGCAUAUCAAUAAGCGGAGGAAAAGAAACUAACAAGGAUUCCCCUAGUAACGGCGAGUGAAGCGGGAAGAGCUCAAAUUCGAAAUCUUCAAGGUUUUACCUUGACGAAUUGUAGUUUAAAGAAGUGUUUUCUGUUGAAGUUUUGGUAAAAGUUCUUUGGAAUAGGACAUCAUAGAGGGUGAGAAUCCCGUAUUUGACCAUUAUUUUCAGCUGUGUGAUACACUUUCAAAGAGUCGGAUUGUUUGGGAAUGCAGUCCAAAAUGGGUGGUAAAUUUCAUCUAAAGCUAAAUAUUGGCGAGAGACCGAUAGCGAACAAGUACCGUGAGGGAAAGAUGAAAAGAACUUUGAAAAGAGAGUUAAACAGUACGUGAAAUUGUCAAAAGGGAAGCGUUUGACACCAGUGUUGUUUUUCCGAAAAUCAAUUACGAAUGUUUUGUUUCUGAGAAGUUAUGACUUCAUCGGCUUGCUUCUCUCUUUACGAAACUUUCUUAAUGCACUUUUCGGUUAACAAGUCAACAUCAAUUUCUUUUGUUGUAAAAGGGUACUGAGGAAGGUGGCUUUCUUUUCGGAGAAAGUGUUUAUAGCCUUGUAGCCUCUGCAAUCGGAGAGAUUGAGGUCUGCAGCGUAGAUCCUUCGGGGUUAGAUACAGUUUGUGCUAAGUUAUAGCUUUUCAUAGACAACUUGUUGACUAUGUUUAGUCUUGUAGCUUACUCGCUUAUGCUAUUUUACCUACGCUUAGGAUGUUGAAGUCAUCGUAUCGCGC
rnacentral:rRNA from 1 species